AUACCNGGGUAGUNCCAGCNGUAAACGAUGUGCGUUAGGUGUAUCGGUGACCACGAGUCACCGAGGUGCCGAAGAGAAAUCGUGAAACGUACCGCCUGGGAAGUACGGUCGCAAGGCUGAAACUUAAAGGAAUNGGCGGGGGAGCACCACAACAGGUGGAGCCUGCGGUUUAAUCGGACUCAACGCCGGAAAUCUCACCAGAUAAGACAGCUGAAUGAUAGUCGGGCUGAAGACUCUACUUGACUAGCUGAGAGGAGGUGCAUGGCCGUCGUCAGUUCGUACUGUGAAGCAUCCCGUUAAGUCAGGCAACGAGCGAGACCCACGCCAACAGUUGCUAGCUCGUCCCCCGGGAUGGAGAGGACACUGUUGGGACCGCCUCUGCUAAAGAGGAGGAAGGAAUGGGCAACGGUAGGUCAGCAUGCCCCGAAUUAUCUGGGCUACACGCGGGCUACAAUGGGUGGGACAAUGGGUAUCGACACCGAAAGGUGAAGGCAAUCUCCUAAACCCAUCCUUAGUUCGGAUUGUGGGCUGCAACUCGCCCACAUGAAGCUGGAAUCUGUAGUAAUCGU
rnacentral:rRNA from 1 species